CAGGCCUAACACAUGCAAGUCGAGCGGUAGAGAGAAGCUUGCUUCUCUUGAGAGCGGCGGACGGGUGAGUAAUGCCUAGGAAUCUGCCUGGUAGUGGGGGAUAACGUUCGGAAACGGACGCUAAUACCGCAUACGUCCUACGGGAGAAAGCAGGGGACCUUCGGGCCUUGCGCUAUCAGAUGAGCCUAGGUCGGAUUAGCUAGUUGGUGGGGUAAUGGCUCACCAAGGCGACGAUCCGUAACUGGUCUGAGAGGAUGAUCAGUCACACUGGAACUGAGACACGGUCCAGACUCCUACGGGAGGCAGCAGUGGGGAAUAUUGGACAAUGGGCGAWAGCUGAUCCAGCCAUGCCGCGUGUGUGAAGAAGGUCUUCGGAUUGUWAAGCACUUUAAGUUGGGAGGAAGGGUUGUAGAUUAAUACUCUGCAAUUUUGACGUUACCGACAGAAUAAGCACCGGCUAACUCUGUGCCAGCAGCCGCGGUAAUACAGAGGGUGCAAACGUUAAUCGGAAUUACUGGGCGUAAAGCGCGCGUAGGUGGUUAGUUAAGUUGGAUGUGAAAUCCCCGGGCUCAACCUGGGAACUGCAUUCAAAACUGACUGACUAGAGUAUGGUAGAGGGUGGUGGAAUUUCCUGUGUAGCGGUGAAAUGCGUAGAUAUAGGAAGGAACACCAGUGGCGAAGGCGACCACCUGGACUGAUACUGACACUGAGGUGCGAAACGUGGGGGAGCAAACAGGAUUAGAUACCCUGGUAGUCCACGCCGUAAACGAU
rnacentral:rRNA from 1 species